ACGGGCGUAGCUCAACGGAAGAGCAGUAGUCUCCAAAACUACGUGUUGGGGGUUCGAAUCCCUCCGCCCCGA
rnacentral:tRNA from 1 species